GAGAGGCACCUAGCUUAAAAUCUGUGUUUAAACUGGAGGAAAGCUUACCUUACAACAGCCGAGGUCAAACGCGCUAUGCCGCUUUUCUUUCACUCACUUCCACCGCUCGAGGUUUUGGAGUUGUGUCUCUCCGCCGUGUCAGUCAGUCCACUUACUGACUGGUCACUGUUAGUCAGUAGGUAACGUACUGUGUGCCGGGUUUCUCCUGACCCUCCCACCACCACUCCCAGUUCUCCAACCGUGGGCUCUGCCUCAGCGCGGAGGCUUCUCCUGGACUGCAGAAUUGCAACUCCUAAGAUUAAGCAGAAAGAGAACGUGCGUAGAAGAUAAUCCCAAGAGAAGUUAAAAUGCAGAGCGGAGAGUCACAGUGAGGCGAGCUUCCUCUCAUGCAGCCAGAGGAUGUUGCCUCUCUGGCUGAAUUCACGGGAAGGAUAUAGUACGUAGCCUGACUCAAGAUGGAUGCCACUUACAGAGGAUAUGUGUCUUUUGUUUUACAAGUGCAUACUAAACUUCCUUGCUUUCCUUUCCAUUGCCACGGAGAAGUGUCUCAGUGAUUACUGAAAGGUCCCACUCUGCGGGCAGUAAUCUUGCUCCGACAACAGAAUGCUGGCAGUUUCCAGUUUCCACAGGAAGGCAGAGGAAGCUAGAGGACGCCGAUUAGGCUGCAGAUGUAGAAGAGGGAGCCACUGACACGACGGCCAAAACACUCCCUCUGGAGAACACUGUCUUCAAACAUAAUUACUGGAAAGUUAAACUAUUGACAUAUUUUUCCUUUAUAGCACUUCCAUCACCUGUGUAAAUAUGGAAAUUAUUUUAGCACGAGUGAUGUAUUGUCAGAUUAGCUGGAAGUUGCUGCCCUCUUGAGGUUUCAUGUUUCAGCAGGCAGAUCUAUAAAAGACAAAUAAAAAGGUGCUGUUGGAAGCUGA